AGCAGCCGCGGUAAUUCCAGCUCCAAUAGCGUAUAUUAAAGUUGUUGCAGUUAAAAAGCUCGUAGUUGAAUUUUGGGUUUGGCCAAUUGGUCCGUUCUUGUAACGAGUACUGGUUGGUUGGGCCUCACCGCCUGGUGAUACGUAAUGUCCUUUAUUGGGUGUUGCGAGUAGCCAGGACCUUUACCUUGAAAAAAAUUAGAGUGUUUAAAGCAGGCUUAUGCCGGAAUACAUUAGCAUGGAAUAAUAGAAUAGGACGAUGAUUCUAUUUUGUUGGUUUCUAGGAGCAUCGUAAUGAUUAAUAGGGAUAGUUGGGGGCAUUAGUAUUCAAUUGUCAGAGGUGAAAUUCUUGGAUUUAUUGAAGACUAACUACUGCGAAAGCAUUUGCCAAGGAUGUUUUCAUUAAUCAAGAACGAAAGUUAGGGGAUCGAAGACGAUCAGAUACCGUCGUAGUCUUAACCAUAAACUAUGCCGACUAGGGAUCGGGCGAUGUUGUUUCAAUGACUCGCUCGGCACCUUAUGG
rnacentral:misc_RNA from 1 species